GAGUUUGAUUAUGGCUCAGGAUGAACGCACAAGACGUGCCUAACACAUGCAAAUCGAAUGAAAAUAAUUAAUUAUUGUUUUCAUGGUGAACGGGUGAGUAACACAUAAGAAUCAGCUUUUAGAUAAGGCAUAAAAGAGUAAUAUCUUGGUAAUUCCUUAUAUGCGCAGCAGUGCUUAAAAAGGGGAGUCCCGUCUAAAAACGAGCUUAUGCCUGAUUAGCUAGUUGGCGAGUUAAAAGCUCACCAGGGCGAAGAUCAGUAGCUGGCCUGAGAGGGCGGCCAGCCACAUUGGGACUGAGACACGGCCCAAACUCCUACGGGAGGCAGCAGUGGGGAAUCUUCUGCAAUGGGCGCAAGCCUGACAGAGCGGCGUCGUGUGAAGGAAGAAGGCCUGAAAUAGGUUGUAAACUUCUUUUACUGAGUAAUGAAUAAUGACAACGCAGUAAAAAAGUAUCGGCUAACUCCGUGCCAGCAGCCGCGGUAAUACGGGGGAUGCAAGCGUUAUCCGGAAUAACUGGGCGUAAAGCGUCUGUAGGUGGUUUAGUGUGUUCUUAGUUAAAUUCUGAAGCCUAACCUCAUGAAAAGUAAGAAAACUAUUAGACUUGAGUACGAUAGGGGUAAGAGGAAUUCUUCGAGAAGUAGUGAAAUGCGAAGAUACGAAGGAGAAGAUCAUAAGCGAAGGCUUCUUACUGGGUCGUAACUGACACUGAGAGACGAAAGCUAGGGGAGCGAAUGGGAUUAGAUACCCCAGUAGUCCUAGCUGUAAACGAUGGAUAUUCGGUGCCGGAAAUUUUAUUAGAACAUUUCGGUACCCUAGCUAACGCGUUAAAUAUCCCGCCUGAGGAGUACGCUCGCAAGGGUGAAACUCAAAGGAAUUGACGGGGGCUCGCACAAGCGGUGGAGCAUGUGGUUUAAUUCGAUGCAAAGCGAAGAACCUUACCAGGGCUUGACAGUAUGUAUAAAAGUCUUAACGGACUAUUUUAUAAAAUACAUAUACAGGUGGUGCAUGGCUGUCGUCAGCUCGUGUCGUGAGGUGUUGGGUUAAGUCCCGCAACGAGCGCAACCCUUGUUCGGAGUUAUAAGUAAACUUAAUUAUUCUUCGAAAACUGCCUAAACAUAAUAAUGUAGGAGGAAGGCGAGGAUGACGUCAAGUCAUUAUGCCCCUUAUGCUCUGGGCUACACACGUGCUACAAUGGGAGGUACAAUAAAAAGGUCUCUUCGUAAGAAGAGGUUAAAUAAAAUAAACCCUCUCUUAGUUCGGAUCGUAGACUGCAACUCGUUUACGUGAAGUUGGAAUCGCUAGUAAUCGCCGGUCAGACAUACGGCGGUGAAUAUGUUCUCGAGCCUUGUACACACCGCCCGUCACGCCACGGGAAUUAAUCUCUCUGGAAAUCUUUGUUAAGAGAUGAUGGAAAGAUCGAUAACUGGGGUGAAGUCGUAACAAGGUAACAAUC
rnacentral:rRNA from 1 species